UACGUACUCUCUCCGUCUGAAAAUACUUGUCAUCAAAAUGAAUAAAAUGGGAUGACGUAUUUUAGUUCAGAUACAUCUUUUUUUAUUCAUUUUGAUGAUAAGUAUUUUUGAACGGAGGAGUAUGUA
rfam:Triticum aestivum genome assembly, contig: Triticum_aestivum_CS42_TGACv1_scaffold_373972_5AL